CCUACGGGUGGCUGCAGUGAGGAAUAUUGGUCAAUGGGCGCAAGCCUGAACCAGCCACGUCGCGUGAAGGAAGACGGCCCUACGGGUUGUAAACUUCUUUUGCAAGGGAAUAAAGUUGGCCACGCGUGGCCUUUUGCAUGUACCUUGCGAAUAAGGAUCGGCUAACUCCGUGCCAGCAGCCGCGGUAAUACGGAGGAUCCGAGCGUUAUCCGGAUUUAUUGGGUUUAAAGGGUGCUCAGGCGGGGGAUUAAGUCGGCGGUGAAAUUUUGCGGCUCAACCGUAAAAGUGCCUUCGAAACUGGUUUCCUUGAGUGUGGAUGAGGUAGGCGGAAUUUGUGGUGUAGCGGUGAAAUGCAUAGAUAUCACGAGGAACUCCGAUUGCGCAGGCAGCUUACUAAGCCAUAACUGACGCUCAAGCACGAAGGCGUGGGGAUCAAACAGGAUUAGAUACCCCAGUAGUC
rnacentral:rRNA from 1 species